rnacentral:rRNA from 1 species
GAUGAACGCUGGCGGUAUGCUUAACACAUGCAAGUCGAACGGUACCUUCGGGUAUAGUGGCGGACGGGUGAGUAACGCGUGAGAAUCUAUCUUUAGGGCGGGGACAACAGUUAGAAAUGACUGCUAAUACCGGAUGUGCCGAAAGGUAAAAGAUUUAUUGCCUGAAAAAGAGCUCGCGUCAGAUUAGCUAGUAGGUGGUGUAAGAGACUACCUAGGCUUCGAUCUGUAGCUGGUCUGAGAGGACGAUCAGCCACACUGGAACUGAGACACGGUCCAGACUCCUACGGGAGGCAGCAGUGGGGAAUUUUCCGCAAUGGGCGAAAGCCUGACGGAGCAAUACCGCGUGAGGGACGAAGGCUCUUGGGUCGUAAACCUCUUUUCUCAAGGAAGAUUCAGACGGUUCUUGAGGAAUAAGCAUCGGCUAACUCUGUG